rnacentral:rRNA from 1 species
AUUGAACGCUGGCGGCAGGCCUAACACAUGCAAGUCGAACGAGUGGCGGACGGGUGAGUAAUGUCUGGGAAACUGCCUGAUGGAGGGGGAUAAAUACUGGAAACGGUAGCUAAUACCGCAUACCAUCGGAUUUGCACAGAUGGGAUGAGCUAGUAGGUGGGGUAACGGCUCACCUAGGCGACGAUCCCUAGCUGGUCUGAGAGGAUGACAAGCCACACUGGAACUGAGACACGGUCCAGACUCCUACGGGAGGCAGCAGUGGGGAAUAUUGCACAAUGGGCGCAAGCCUGAUGCAGCCAUGCCGCGUGUAUGAAGAAGGCCUUCGGGUUGUAAAGUACUUUCAGCGGGGAGGCGUUACCCGCAGAAGAAGCACCGGCUAACUCCGUGCCAGCAGCCGCGGUAAUAC